rnacentral:misc_RNA from 1 species
GGAUCCUUGAAGGGCAAAAACGGUGGAUAGGAAACAGCACUUUUGCAGAUGUGUUGGUUAUAUUUGCCAGAAACGCAGCCACAAACCAAAUAAAUGGUUUCAUUGUACAGAAGGAUGCUCCAGGCUUGCAAUGUACUAAAAUAGAAAACAAAAUUGGGUUGCGGAUGGUUCAGAAUGGAGAUAUCCUCUUUAAGAAAGUGUUUGUUCCUGAUGAGGAUAGACUACCAGGUGUCAAUUCUUUCAACGAUACAAGUAAGGUGCUUGCUGUAUCACGUGUCAUGGUUGCAUGGCUGCCUAUAGGCAUUGCAAU